UUUGCUCUGCGGCAGCAAUAGUACCUCCGCCGAGCAAAUCCACAAUCCGAACACCUAUGGUUGUUCCUCCAAUUGAUCCUCCUUCCAAUCGGAACCGAGAGAAAAAGUUGCUUGUAGCAUUUCCAGGUUUGGGCAUUAAUUAUUACUAUAAAGAUGAAUCAUCAUAAAUUUUAAAGAACUAGUGGGCUAAGACUCUUCUAAUACUUCAGUGGCACUUCUAUUCAGACUUUAACGGUGCCAACUGUCAACUUCCCUAGCAACUGAAUAUGCUACAAGAGGAGAAUGAGGUUAUAUUAGAAAAGGUGGUGCUCUUCUAGCCUAACAAAGUUGGUUUUAAACUCAAAUUAUGUGAUAUUUAACAUAUCUACUUGAUUAUAUUGACAGUUAAGAGUUGCAGAG